CAUUUUGUACAGAUUUUUGGAAGUUUGGGUUGUUACUUUUCUUAUAGAACGGACUUCUUACUACAGUAUAACCUCUAUAAAUUAAUAACCUUUAUAAAUUAAUAAAUUCUUCCGGUCCCGAGUUGGGACUAGUGUAAAAAAUGACACAAAUCGAUAAAUUAAUAAGAUAAUAAUUUUUUGGAAAGUUCUAUGUAAAUAUAUGGUCUCAUCGAUAUCAUAAAUUAAUAAUUGUAUAAAUAUAUCAACUAU
rnacentral:sRNA from 1 species